UUUUAAGAACAUCAUUUGCAUCUUGUACAGACAAUGAGCAAUUUUCAGAGCUAAAGGCAGACACAGAAGUUCCUCUUUCUAACAUCUUUUUCCAAAUAUGCCGAUGAUUUCAGGCCCUGGAGGCCCCCGUGGACUUGUCCUCCUUUUGACCCAUCUUCUGUCACCUAUUACUAAGCAAACUCAAAUGCAACAGGUUGCAACAAGAAGCUGAAUACAUUCAGGCCUUUGCUCAGGCCUGUUUCUAGAUUGUAUGUAUUAUAUGUGUUUUGUAACCUUCUAUAGCUCCAAGUCACUUACACAAUAGAUUGUCCGGACAUCGCGCCGAACAAAGCUUACAACCUCCAAUUAAUUGACCGAGCUCCAACAAGCACAAAAUGCAAUGUGUAUAAAAUGGUCUUAGCUGUACCUGUAAUUAGAAGGUUAAUGUAAUACCAACAACUUCAAUAAAUGUAUUAAUGAAAUGAUAAUUACUUUAAUUAAUGCAAUGGCAAUGACUUAAUGCAAAGUUACUUAAUGCAAUGAUAAUAAUGAUGAAUAUGAGUAGCAGUAAAAUAUUUUCCUUAUUCCACAGUAGAUCAUUACAGUAUUCCUUGUGUUGCUUUUUACUUUUUUAGCUUUAUUUUCUCACUAUUUCAUUCAUGUAUGAUGUACAACACUGUGUGUCAACUGCGGCUGUUUCAAAGAGCUUUAAAAAAACAAAAACAAAAAAACUUUGCAAGAUAUUGUAUUACUUAGUUUUCGUAGUUACUGUUUUAUACUUUGAUGAUCAAUUAAUUAAGUGGAUCUGAUUAGCAGCUCCUGGGUGCUACUUACCCUCUUAAAUGCCAUGAAAACAGCAAGGGUCUACUUUGUUUUUCACACACAUUUUCUGAAGUCAACGUUUGUUUUUCAAGUUUUUGGUAACAAUAUAAGGUAGCUAUGUAAUAUUGUGUGAUGUGUGUUUGCUUAUCUGAAGUUCUACAAGAAAUCUAGUAAGAUUAAGGUGAUUUUUUUUCAUUAUUUCCUGAUCUGUAAAAACGAAUAACUUAAAGAGGGUGUAUUUUCUUUUUCAUGUGCACUGGUAUAUGGAUAUUAAUGGAUAUCACUGGAUAUUAAUUUGCCUCUAGGUAAUUUACUUAUAAACGCUGUGCAGUUUAAUGUCAACGAGAGCAACAGAUAAACAUAUAACUCAUGUAUCUCUAUACACAUGGGAUUGUUGUACCAAUUCAAAUUUUGUUCAGCUGUGCAUAGAUUGUGGUGUUUUUGCUUGAGUUGUAUUUUUGAUUUUUUGUUUUAAUAAACUCCUAAUACCUC
ensembl:lncRNA